ACACCUCAACACGCCCCAGAGCCCACCCCAAAGUGUCCCCAAGUGUCCCCCGACCAGGUUGGGGACAUUCUCAGGGGUCAGCACUGACUCCAGGCAGUGUCACCCCCCCAGACACUGUCCCCAAUGUCCCCUGACCAGGUUGGCCACAUUCUCAGGGGUCAGCAGUGGCUGCAGGACAAUGUCACCCCCCCACAAUGUCCCCAAUGUCCCCAGUGUCCCCUGACCAGGUUGGGGACAUUCUCAGGGGUCAGCAGUGGUUGCAGGACAAUGUCACACCCCCAGGUGUCCCCAGUGUCCCCAAUGUCCCCUGACCAGGUUGGCCACGUUCUCAGGGGUCAGCAGUGGCUGCAGGACAAUGUCACACCCCCAGUGUCCCCAAUGUCCCCAAUGUCCCCAGUGUCCCCUGACCAGGUUGGCCACGUUCUCAGGGGUCAGCAGUGGCUGCAGGACAAUGCCACCCCCGCAAAGU